AUAUCAAUAAGCGGAGGAAAAGAAACUAACAAGGAUUCCCCUAGUAACGGCGAGUGAAGCGGGAAGAGCUCAAAUUUAAAAUCUGGCGUAACAGCCCGAAUUGUAAUCUAAAGAGGCGCUAUCGGACAUGUGUUUGUCGUACAAGUUCCCUGGAAUGGGACAUCACAGAGGGUGAGAAUCCCGUCUGGACGAUGAACUCGUGGCCAUAUGAGGCGUUCUCAAAGAGUCGAGUUGUUUGGGAUUGCAGCUCAAAAUGGGAGGUAAAUUUCUUCUAAGGCUAAAUAACGGCAAGAGACCGAUAGCGCACAAGUA
rnacentral:rRNA from 1 species